rnacentral:miRNA from 1 species
GGGGCUGUGAUUGACCAGCAGG